rnacentral:piRNA from 1 species
CGCCAUCGAUUCUUGUUCUGGUCCAUUUU